AACUUUUUCUUUUUACCCAAACCCUUUCGUAGAGAGAGAGAGUGAAGAUUGUAAAAGAAAAAUCCUCCAUUUUGGACAAAAAUCUUCAAGCCAUGGGUUGAAUCUCUAGUUUUUCCUCCGAUUAACAGCUACUGGAGUAUUAUGAAAUAGUUUUUGGAGUAGAGAGAUCAAGGAGAUACAUACUAACCCCAAUUUCGAAAAAACCCUAGCUUGAUUAAGGUCCGACGAAUCUUUGACGACACCAUUGUGAGGAAGAGGAAGUAUACUAGUGAUUGAGUAAGCAUAUCACAGGUUGAGAGGGAAUGGAAAGCAGGUGUGUUGUGCAUCGGAGUUUUCUUUUUGCCAGAUUCUACAAAUGCUAUAAAAUAUGUAAAAGGCCUCAUAUAUGUACCUCUUUUGUUGAACAUGUCCGUCGCACGUCUUUUGGGCUAUAAACUUAUUAUGUUUUGCUUAGCAACUAAACCCAAAUAUAUUUUGGGAGAAUAGUUGUAUUUUAGUCUUGUUUCCGCUAGUGCCCAUGGGAUGUAAAUUAAUCUACUUAAAUUGUGUGAUAUCUAUCUUCAAGCUUAAUCCCUCAUCGAUGUUGUAAUAUAUUCCCAUGUUACCUUAGCUCGAGUUCUUGAGAAUAUCCAUCUUCAUUUCUAUUCUAGUUUGUAAA